CAAAAAAUUUCAAACUGGACUGGACAGAAUUGGAGGUUACAAACAAACAUAGCGAUUAGGGUUAGGGUUUAGAUACGUCUCAGCUCCGCCACUCCAAUUUCCAUCUCUAUAUAGUCCCAUCUUCCUAACCCUAACCCCAUUCCGCCGAUUUCGCUCUCUUCCUCUCCUUUUCCUGAUAAAGUUCCAAUUUUUAAUCAGAAAUCCAAAUCCAAUUGAAGUAUACUAGUCUAUAUCCAAUGCCUUUUACCAGUCCUUUUUAAUUUUAAACACUUACAUAGCCUCUAAACUUCAAUGGGUAGUAACUGGAGAUGACUUGGAUGCGCGUGCUCUGAACCCAUUGGGGUUUGAUUAUGUUGAAGACAAGGCGUGAAAUCAUCUAGGGUGUAUUGAUUUUUCACUUGCUGCCGUGCACUGUCAUUGAUUUUGAGCUGACAAUUUCUCCUGUCGUUACGAGGUUUAUGUGUCUUAAUAGAGAAGUCUUGUGGAGAGUUGAGUCUUGAAAGCUGAUUUAGAGGUCGUAAUACGCUGAUUUAUGUUCUGGUUGUAAAUUUUUCUAGCUGAGUUUUACUUAGGUUAUUCCUUGAUUCUAAUCUUUACAUUUUGCCCACAAGGUAGUUGUUUGAUUGUAAUGAUGUGUGACUUGGCAUCCUUUGCUUGUCAUGAAAAUAAAAGUAUUUUCCAUUAUGCGUCCA